GCAUCGAUGAAGAACGCAGCAAAAUGCGAUACUUGGUGUGAAUUGCAGAAUCCCGUGAACCAUCGAGUUUUUGAACGCAAGUUGCGCCCGAAGCCAUUUGGUUGAGGGCACGUCUGCCUGGGCGUCACGC
rnacentral:rRNA from 1 species